rnacentral:lncRNA from 1 species
UGGACUGCACCUACAGCUAACGCGUCCGGAAAAAGGCCCAUCUCCGUUCAAAUUCUACAAUAGUUGGUUAAGGGAUGCUGAAUUCAACUCUGAAUUCAAGAAGGCUUGAGAAACGAUUUUCGAAGGGACUCCACUAUUCAUCUUACAGUAGAGGAUAAAUGCGGUGAGAGUCGCUGGGAAAAAUUGGACGCAGAGGAAAAGAAUUGCAGGCGACACCCCAACCAAAAUCUCGGUUGACCUGCAAAUCAAAGCCACUAAGUUACAGCUCGAUCCUCUCAAUCCAAAAUUCC